AUUGAACGCUGGCGGCAUGCCUUACACAUGCAAGUCGAACGGCAGCACGGGAGCUUGCUCCUGGUGGCGAGUGGCGAACGGGUGAGUAAUACAUCGGAACGUACCCUGAAGUGGGGGAUAACGUAGCGAAAGUUACGCUAAUACCGCAUAUUCUGUGAGCAGGAAAGAGGGGGAUCGCAAGACCUCUUGCUUUAGGAGCGGCCGAUGUCGGAUUAGCUAGUUGGUGAGGUAAAGGCUCACCAAGGCGACGAUCCGUAGCGGGUCUGAGAGGAUGAUCCGCCACACUGGGACUGAGACACGGCCCAGACUCCUACGGGAGGCAGCAGUGGGAAUUUGGACAAGUGGGCGCAAGCCUGAUCCAGCCAUGCCGCGUGAGUGAAGAAGGCC
rnacentral:rRNA from 1 species